AUGUUUCACAAGCACAUUGCCCAAUCAGCUGCUUGCCCCCGAUGUCAAGACCCGCACGAGGAUGCUCUUCAUCUCAUCUCCAACUGCUCCUAUGCAACAUAGGUUUGGUCCUCCUUGGGUCUGCCCUCACCAACCUCCCUGGAUGAUCUGCAACAAUACCCCACGAUUCCUGGCCUCAACCCAAACAUCUGGCCUUCGGUCGCUCUGACGGUUGCAUGGAAGAUUUGGGACUCGAGGAACGCCUUUGUCUUCAGAAACGAGGAUCACACCCACAGAACCACAAUUCGUAAUAUUGUAGCAGAUUUCUCCCUCUGGGUCUUCCGGUUCAAAAAGAAAGAAGAUAAUACUUCUGCUAAGCUAUGGCUGAAUUUCCUCUCUGCUUCUAUUCAUUAA
rnacentral:rRNA from 1 species